rfam:Habropoda laboriosa contig4908, whole genome shotgun sequence.
AAACCGGCCCUUUUCAGGGCCAACAAUUUUUCUUUCGAAGAAACA